GACAGAGGUGCCGAGCGUUAGGCGAAUCACUGGGCUUAAAGCGUGUGUAGGCGGGUCCGUAAGUACCUUGUGAAAUCCCAUGGCUCAACCAUGGAACUGCUUGGUAUACUGCGGAUCUUGAGCCACCUAGGGGCAAGUGGAACAAACGGUGGAGCGGUGAAAUGCGUAGAUAUCGUUUGGAACGCCAAUGGUGAAAACAACUUGCUGGGGGUGUGCUGACGCUGGGACACGAAAGCCAGGGGAGCAAACGGG
rnacentral:rRNA from 1 species